rnacentral:rRNA from 2 species
UGGGGAAUAUUGCACAAUGGGGGAAACCCUGAUGCAGCAACGCCGCGUGAGUGAUGAAGGUCUUCGGAUUGUAAAGCUCUGUCUUUUGGGACGAUUAUGACGGUACCAAAGGAGGAAGCCACGUCUAACUACGUGCCAGCAGUCGCGGUAAUACGUAGGUGGCAAGCGUUGUCCGGAUUUACUGGGCGUAAAGGGUGUGUAGGCGGAUGUUUAAGUGAGAUGUGAAAUACCCGGGCUUAACUUGGGUGCUGCAUUUCAAACUGGAUAUCUAGAGUGCAGGAGAGGAGAAUGGAAUUCCUAGUGUAGCGGUGAAAUGCGUAGAGAUUAGGAAGAACACCAGUGGCGAAGGCGAUUCUCUGGACUGUAACUGACGCUGAGGCACGAAAGCGUGGGUAGCAAACAGG